rnacentral:sRNA from 2 species
CCAUAGCCCUGAUAGAAGUGGAAAUCCUUUUGUGAAAUGAAAUGGAACAAAAGAUUGGAACGGAUAGCAGGAAAUAGC